GGCAGUGUAGCUCAAAUGAUAGAGUGCUCGGUUUGCAUGCGAGAGGCAUGAGGUUGAGGUUCGAUCCCCCACACCUCCA
rfam:Vitis vinifera, whole genome shotgun sequence of line PN40024, unordered unoriented chromosome 18, chr18_random